ACGCUGGCGGCACGCCUAACACAUGCAAGUCGAACGAAGUAGCAAUACUUAGUGGCAGACGGGUGAGUAACAUGUGGGUAUCUGCCCUAUGGCCUGGAAUAACACGAGGAAACUUGUGCUAAUACCGGAUAAGUCUUUACGGAGAAAGCUUUAUGCACCAUUGGAUGAGCCCGCACUUGAUUAGUUUGUUGGUGGGGUAAUGGCCUACCAAGACUGUGAUCAAUAGCUGAUUUGAGAGGAUGAUCAGCCACAUUGGGACUGAGACACGGCCCAAACUCCUACGGGAGGCAGCAGUGGGGAAUCUUGCACAAUGGAGGAAACUCUGAUGCAGCGAUGCCGCGUGAGUGAAGAAGGCCCUUGGGUUGUAAAGCUCUUUCGUCGGGGAAGAAAAUGACUGUACCCGAAUAAGAAGGUCCGGCUAACUUCGUGCCAGCAGCCGCGGUAAUACGAAGGGACCUAGCGUAGUUCGGAAUUACUGGGCUUAAAGAGUUCGUAGGUGGUUGAAAAAGUUGGUGGUGAAAUCCCAGAGCUUAACUCUGGAACUGCCAUCAAAACUUUUCAGCUAGAGUAUGAUAGAGGAAAGCAGAAUUUCUAGUGUAGAGGUGAAAUUCGUAGAUAUUAGAAAGAAUACCAAUUGCGAAGGCAGCUUUCUGGAUCAUUACUGACACUGAGGAACGAAAGCAUGGGUAGCGAAGAGGAUUAGAUACCCUCGUAGUCCAUGCCGUAAACGAUGUGUGUUAGACGUUGGAAAUUUAUUUUCAGUGUCGCAGCGAAAGCGAUAAACACACCGCCUGGGGAGUACGACCGCAAGGUUAAAACUCAAAUGAAUUGACGGGGACCCGCACAAGUAGUGGAGCAUGUGGUUUAAUUCGAAGAUACGCGCAGAACCUUACCAACACUUGACAUGUUCGUCGCGACUCUAAGAGAUUAGAGUUUUCGGUUCGGCCGGACGAAACACAGGUGCUGCAUGGCUGUCGUCAGCUCGUGUCGUGAGAUGUUGGGUUAAGUCCCGCAACGAGCGCAACCCUCACUUUUAGUUGCCAUCAUUUAGUUGGGCACUCUGAAAGAACUGCCAGUGAUAAGCUGGAGGAAGGUGGGGAUGACGUCAAGUCCUCAUGGCCCUUACGUGUUGGGCUACACACGUGCUACAAUGGUAUCUACAACAGGAAGCAAGACGGCGACGUUAAGCAAAUCCUUAAAAGAUACCUCAGUUCGGAUUGCACUCUGCAACUCGAGUGCAUGAAGCUGGAAUUACUAGUAAUCGUGGAUCAGCGUGCCACGGUGAAUGCGUUCCCGGGUCUUGUACACACCGCCCGUCACACCAUGGGAGUUGGUUCUACCUUAAGGCAAGGUUUAAAACCCUUGACCACGGUAUAGUCAGCGACUGGGGUGAAGUCGUAACAAGGUAGCCGUA
rnacentral:rRNA from 1 species